rnacentral:rRNA from 1 species
CGGACGGGUGAGUAAUGUAUGGGGAUCUGCCUGAUGGGGGGGGAUAACUACUGGAAACGGUAGCUAAUACCGCAUAACGUCGCAAGACCAAAGAGGGGGACCUUCGGGCCUCUUGCCAUCGGAUGUGCCCAGAUGGGAUUAGCUUGUAGGUAAGGUAACGGCUUACCUAGGCGACGAUCCCUAGCUGGUCUGAGAGGAUGAUCAGCCACACUGGGACUGAGACACGGCCCAG